rnacentral:rRNA from 1 species
AGUGAACGCUGGCGGUAGGCCUAACACAUGCAAGUCGAACGGCAGCACAGUAAGAGCUUGCUCUUACGGGUGGCGAGUGGCGGACGGGUGAGGAAUACAUCGGAAUCUACUUUUUCGUGGGGGAUAACGUAGGGAAACUUACGCUAAUACCGCAUACGACCUACGGGUGAAAGCGGGGGAUCUUCGGACCUUGCGCGAUUGAAUGAGCCGAUGUCGGAUUAGCUAGUUGGCGGGGUAAAGGCCCACCAAGGCGACGAUCCGUAGCUGGUCUGAGAGGAUGAUCAGCAACACUGGAACUGAGACAAGGCCCAGACUCCUACGGGAGGCAGCAGUGGGGAAUAUUGGACAAUGGGCGCAAGCCUGAUCCAGCCAUACCGCGUGGGUGAAGAAGGCCUUCGGGUUGUAAAGCCCUUUUGUUGGGAAAGAAAAGCAGCAGGUUAAUACCCCGCUGUUCUGACGGUACCCAAAGAAUAAGCACCGGCUAACUUCGUG